AGUGGGAACGCUGUGUGCAGGAAGGGUAUGAUGAGAUGUCGGCUGUCAAAUACUUGCUGCUGCUUUUGGGUUCUUCUUGAUCAGCCUAAGCCUGGAUUUUGAGCAGAUUUGGACCAGUAUUUCUAGGUCUAGUGUUUCCUUUAGAAGUAAGUUACUGCAGUGAUUUUUUAUUUCCCCUAAGACUCUUGCUGCUUUCUCCAUCAGUGUCAGAUAAGGUUGCUGCCCAUUCUUUUUGUCUCGCUUUCAGUAUCCUCGUGGCCACAGCUGUCUAUCCCCCUGGGACAGCAAGAAGAGCAAAGGCCCAUACAGGACGGCAUAGCCUUAUUACUGCCCUGCUGUUAUCGGAGCACAGGCUCCAUAACUACACGUGGAUGGAGGAGUGUUUGCCAGAAAGCAGGAAGCUGAAGAGAGGAAAUGUACAUGCUGAGAGGCAGCGUGUGAAGGUCUUCCAGGAACCAACAGACUCCAGUGCCUGGGGUCCUGCUGAACCCACAAGGACCGAUGAGUUAGGACAUGGUCAGACGGAUCUGCAUGAGGCACGCAUGCCAUCAACAAUGGUCAUAUAA
rnacentral:lncRNA from 1 species